GAUGAACGCUAGCGGCAGGCUUAAUACAUGCAAGUCGAACGGUAAGGUCUCUUCGGAGAUACACGGGUGGCGCACGGGUGCGUAACGCGUAUGCAACCUACCUUUAACUGGGAAAUAGCCCCGAGAAAUCGGGAUUAAUGUCCCAUAUUAUUUUCUGAAUGCAUAUUUGGGAAAUGAAAGCUCCGGCGGUUAAAGAUGGGCAUGCGUGACAUUAGCUAGUUGGUGAGGUAACGGCCCACCAAGGCGACGAUGUCUAGGGGUCCUGAGAGGGUUAACCCCCACACUGGUACUGAGAAACGGACCAGACUCCUACGGGAGGCAGGAGUAAGGAAUAUUGGGCAAUGGACGCAAGUCUGACCCAGCCAUGCCGCGUGAAGGAUGAAUGUCCUAUGGAUUGUAAACUUCUUUUGUGCAAGAAAAACCCCUCGGUUUCGUACCGGGGCUGAUUGUAUUGCACGAAUAAGCAUCGGCUAACUCCGUGCCAGCCGCCGCCGUAAGAC
rnacentral:rRNA from 1 species